GCCUGGGUGGCUCAAUUGGUUAAGCUUCUGAUUUCGACUCAGGUCAUGAUCUCACGGUUCGUGGGUUCAAGCCCUGCGUUGGGCU
rnacentral:tRNA from 1 species